UACGUAGGGUGCAAGCGUUGUCCGGAAUUAUUGGGCGUAAAGAGCUCGUAGGCGGUUCGUCGCGUCGGCUGUGAAAACCUGAGGCUCAACCUCAGGCCUGCAGUCGAUACGGGCGGACUUGAGUACUGCAGGGGAGACUGGAAUUCCUGGUGUAGCGGUGAAAUGCGCAGAUAUCAGGAGGAACACCGGUGGCGAAGGCGGGUCUCUGGGCAGUAACUGACGUUGAGGAGCGAAAGCGUGGGGAGCGAACAGG
rnacentral:rRNA from 1 species